CCUACGGGAGGCAGCAGUGAGGAAUAUUGGUCAAUGGUCGGGAGACUGAACCAGCCAAGCCGCGUGAGGGAGGAAGGUACAGAGUAUCGUAAACCUCUUUUGUCAGGGAACAAAGACUGGGACGCGUCCCCGGAUGAGUGUACCUGCAGAAAAAGCAUCGGCUAACUCCGUGCCAGCAGCCGCGGUAUUACGGAGGAUGCGAGCGUUAUCCGGAUUUAUGGGGGUUAAGGGGUGCGCAGGCGGUGUGUUAAGUCAGCGGUAAAAGCCCGGGGCUCAACCCCGGCCCGCCGUUGAAACUGGCAGUCUCGAGUUGGAGAGAGGUAUGCGGAAUGCGCGGUGUAGCGGUGAAAUGCAUAGAUAUC
rnacentral:rRNA from 1 species